rnacentral:rRNA from 1 species
UACGGGGGGAGCAAGCGUUGUUCGGAUUUACUGGGCGUAAAGGGCGCGUAGGCGGUCAGCACAAGUCAGUUGUGAAAUCCCCGGGCUCAACCCGGGAACUGCGUCCGAUACUGGAAGGCUUGAAUCCGGGAGAGGGAUGCGGAAUUCCAGGUGUAGCGGUGAAAUGCGUAGAUAUCUGGAGGAACACCGGUGGCGAAGGCGGCAUCCUGGACCGACACUGACGCUGAGGAGCGAAAGCCAGGGGAGCAAACGGGG